GUUGUCGUGGCCGAUUGGUUAAAGCGAUGGACCUGAAAUCCAUUGGGGUCUCCCCGCGCAGGUUUGAAUCCUGCCGAUAACG